AUUGAACGCUGGCGGCAUGCCUUACACAUGCAAGUCGAACGGUAACAGGUCUUCGGAUGCUGACGAGUGGCGAACGGGUGAGUAGUACAUCGGAACGUGCCCGAUCGUGGGGGAUAACGAGGCGAAAGCUUUGCUAAUACCGCAUACGAUCUACGGAUGAAAGCGGGGGAUCUUCGGACCUCGCGCGGACGGAGCGGCCGAUGGCAGAUUAGGUAGUUGGUGGGAUAAAAGCUUACCAAGCCGACGAUCUGUAGCUGGUCUGAGAGGAUGAUCAGCCACACUGGGACUGAGACACGGCCCAGACUCCUACGGGAGGCAGCAGUGGGGAAUUUUGGACAAUGGGCGAAAGCCUGAUCCAGCCAUGCCGCGUGCAGGAUGAAGGCCUUCGGGUUGUAAACUGCUUUUGUACGGAACGAAAAGCCUCUUUCUAAUAAAGAGGAGUCAUGACGGUACCGUAAGAAUAAGCACCGGCUAACUACGUGCCAGCAGCCGCGGUAAUACGUAGGGUGCAAGCGUUAAUCGGAAUUACUGGGCGUAAAGCGUGCGCAGGCGGUUUUGUAAGACAGAGGUGAAAUCCCCGGGCUCAACCUGGGAACUGCCUUUGUGACUGCAAGGCUGGAGUGCGGCAGAGGGGGAUGGAAUUCCGCGUGUAGCAGUGAAAUGCGUAGAUAUGCGGAGGAACACCGAUGGCGAAGGCAAUCCCCUGGGCCUGCACUGACGCUCAUGCACGAAAGCGUGGGGAGCAAACAGG
rnacentral:rRNA from 1 species